UACUCGAGUGGCGAACGGGUGAGUAACACGUGGGUGAUCUGCCCUGCACUUCGGGAUAAGCUUUGGAAACUGGGUCUAAUACCGGAUAGGAGCCAUCUUUAGUGUGGUGGUUGGAAAGUUUUUUCGGUGUAGGAUGAGCUCGCGGCCUAUCAGCUUGUUGGUGGGGUAAUGGCCUACCAAGGCGGCGACGGGUAGCCGGCCUGAGAGGGUGUACGGCCACAUUGGGACUGAGAUACGGCCCAG
rnacentral:rRNA from 1 species